CCAGACUCCUACGGGAGGCAGCAGUGGGGGAUAUUGCACAAUGGGCGAAAGCCUGAUGCAGCGACGCCGCGUGAGGGAAGACGGUCUUCGGAUUGUAAACCUCUGUCUUUGGGGAAGAAUAGAGACGGUACCCAAAGAGGAAGCUCCGGCUAACUACGUGCCAGCAGCCGCGGUAAUACGUAGGGAGCAAGCGUUGUCCGGAAUUACUGGGUGUAAAGGGAGCGUAGGCGGGAUGGCAAGUUGGGUGUUAAAUCUACCGGCUCAACUGGUAGUCGCACUCAAAACUGCUAUUCUUGAGUGAAGUAGAGGCAGGCGGAAUUCCUAGUGUAGCGGUGAAAUGCGUAGAUAUUAGGAGGAACACCAGUGGCGAAGGCGUCUUACUGGACCGAAACUGACGUUGAGGCUCGAAAGCGUGGGGAGCAAACAGGAUUAGAUACCCGGGUA
rnacentral:rRNA from 1 species